rnacentral:tRNA from 1 species
GCCUGGGUGGCUCAGUUGGUGGAGCGCCUGACUUCAGCUCAGGUCGUGAUCUCCAGUUUGUGAGUUCAAGCCCCACAUAGGGCU